CCACAACGGAAACGUUUCAAGGGGACCCAAAAAAGUGACGGACCCGGCUGGGAUUUGCUUAUUGUGCAGUGGCUAUUGGUCAGUGGAGUUGUUGGUGAACUGAAAGAUCAAAAUGUAUUGCCCUUUCUGUGGCAUCCAAUGGCCGACUUUGCCAAGAUUUUGCAGUUCAUGUGGGCGAGAUGUAAGCUUUGUCGUAGAGAAUGCCCCUAGAACGGCGGGUGAUGACCAGGUGUCAUGUCAGACUGUGCCCAGAGGCUCAGGAACCGUAUUAGAUGAAAUCACAGAGGCAGGCCUAAUCCAUAAAUAUUUCUCAGAGGGCCACACAUAUGA